CAAGCUGAUAUAAGAGGAAGUUCAUCAGAUUUUUAAGACGCUCCACGGACAGGCUAGGGAUUUCAUCCUACAUUCAUGUCACUAAUCAAUCUCACCACCGUAUGUCCUUUCAUCUACCUCCUAAAUCCCUAUAGAACCAGAUGAUCGGUCCAUCCCUUUUUCAUGAACCUUCAAUCCCUUGUACGGUGAAGAUUGUGGAUGAUAGCAACGCACACGGUCUGAACAGGAUGAGUAAUUUUACCUCACUUCAUUCCGAUUUGACUCUGUUUUCUUCUUUCAAGUAUCUGCUCUGAAAUCGAGUUUCUACAAACUUCUUGAUCCGUUUAUCAGGAUAUCUCUCUUCUUCAUGGUCUGGGAAUCAAAUUUGUUCUUGUUCCAGGGAAACAUGUACAGAUUGAUAAGCUUUUAGCUGAAAAGGGACGUGAACCAAAAUACGUUAGAAGAUACAGAAUUACCGACCCUGAUUCGCUCAAGGCCGCGAUGGAUUUAGCUGGAAGAAUCCGGUUGAUGAUCGAGGCAAAGUUGUCACCAGGGUCGUCUUUAUGCGGCAUCCGUAGACACGGAGAGAAAAGGCGGUUGCAUUCCAGUGUCAGUGUUGCAAGUGGUAAUUUUCUUGCUGCCAAGGAAAGAGGAGUUGUCGAAGGCAUUCAUUAUGAAGUAACAGGUGAAGUAAAGAAAGUGGAUGUUCAUCGCAUACGUGAGCAGCUGGAUAAUGAUUCUAUUGUGAUUUUAAGCAACCUUGGAUAUUCUAGCUCCGAAGGUGUACUGAAUUGCAAGUAUGCUAUGUAGUUGUUAAUAGCAUGUAGGAAGUUGCUACUGCUUGUGCGUUGGCGCUUGGAGCAGAGUAACUUAUCUGCAUUAUCGAUGGGCCAAUUCUGGAUGACUGGGGCUGGUUAAUCAGAUUUUUGACACUUGAAGAUGCUGACAUGUUAAUACUUAGGCGAGCCAAGCAAAGCGAGAUUGCAGGUCCGCUCUUCUCUUCUGCUCCUACACACUGAUCGAAUAACGAGGAUUCCAUUUUCCGGUGUCGGUUUCGUCAUUACAAGAGUGGUAGGGUUGUUUUCGGAGAGUACAACCGUUACUCCGAUUGUUUGGUUGUGAUAGAAAAGAUGCAAGGGCGGACUAGAGUUCAGGAUAGGCGACGAAGCCUUGUAUUUGUGGUCCGAUCGGAGGUAAUAUAUGGCAAGCGUUGGUGAAUCACCCACUAACUUUUUUACUUUUCAAAUUGCAGGAAUCCAGUCGCACCAUAGGUACAUCUUCAAUGAUCAGGCGGUUUCUGAUCCCUCACGAAGCACUUUGCUCAAAUCGUGCACGCGAAGUCCACUCAGUACAAAUAGACGGAACGAAAAUCAACUUAGUCGCCACCACCGCUGCCAAGAUUAUGGCAUACGCUGAACCUGUACAUGGAGUAACGGAUGCAAGGCAAGUGACUAAUCUUCCUAGAAAACCCCGAGUUCUGCUAGCUGCAAGUGGAACUGUGGCUGCCAUAAAAUUCGGGAACCUGUGCAGCUGUUUUUCAUAUUGGGUAGAUGUAAAAGCCGUUGCAACACUACCGGCUCUACAUUUUAUUGAUAAAACAACACUCUCGAAAGAUGUGAUUCUUUAUACGGAUGAGCAUGAAUGGUCUUCUUGGUCAAAGAUUGGAGAUAGGGUGCUCCACAUUGAGCUCCGUCAAUGGGCUGAUGUUGUGGUAAUCGCCCUGUUGUCCGCAAAUACACUCUCCAAGAUAACAUAUCAUGGCGAUUUGUACCCUCUUUCCUAGAUGUAGCAAAUGGGCGGGUUGGGCAAUGGGUUAUUUUACUACGCGUCGGGUUGGAUUGAACAGUAAACAUUUUCUUGCCCACUUUCUCUUGUUUUUUAUAUACAUAGUUAAUGUUUUUUUGGGUAAA